rnacentral:tRNA from 1 species
AGCUUUAUAGUCAAUAAUGAUAUUAGACUGCAAUUCUAAAGGAGUAAAAAAGAAUACUAAAGCUU